AUUGAACGCUGGCGGCAGGCUUAACACAUGCAAGUCGAGCGGGGUGAUGGUGCUUGCACUAUCACUUAGCGGCGGACGGGUGAGUAAUGCUUAGGAAUCUGCCUAUUAGUGGGGGACAACAUCUCGAAAGGGAUGCUAAUACCGCAUACGUCCUACGGGAGAAAGCAGGGGAUCGCUUGUGACCUUGCGCUAAUAGAUGAGCCUAAGUCGGAUUAGCUAGUUGGUGGGGUAAAGGCCAACCAAGGCGACGAUCUGUAGCGGGUCUGAGAGGAUGAUCCGCCACACUGGGACUGAGACACGGCCCAGACUCCUACGGGAGGCAGCAGUGGGGAAUAUUGGGCAAUGGGGGGAACCCUGAUCCAGCCAUGCCGCGUGUGUGAAGAAGGCCUUAUGGUUGUAAAGCACUUUAAGCGAGGAGGAGGCUCUUUUGGUUAAUACCCAAGAUGAGUGGACGUUACUCGCAGAAUAAGCACCGGCUAACUCUGUGCCAGCCGCCGCCGUAA
rnacentral:rRNA from 1 species